rnacentral:rRNA from 1 species
GACGUAGGGCGCGAGCGUUGUCCGGAUUUAUUGGGCGUAAAGAGCUCGUAGGCGGCUCGUUGCGUCGGCUGUGAAAACCCGGGGCUCAACUCCGGGCCUGCAGCCGAUACGGGCAGACUAGAGUUCGGCAGGGGAGACUGGAAUUCCUGGUGUAGCGGUGAAAUGCGCAGAUAUCAGGAGGAACACCGGUGGCGAAGGCGGGUCUCUGGGCCGAUACUGACGCUGAGACGCGAAAGCGUGGGGAGCAAACAGG